rnacentral:tRNA from 1 species
ACUAUUUUGGCAGAAAAGUGCAAUGAAUUUAGAAUUCAUGAAUGUGAUUUAUUACAGAUAGUA